GGGGAUGUAGCUCAAUUGGUAGGGUGCUAAUCAAUGAUGAAUAGAGGCAUGGGGUUUGAUUCCUCGCAUCUCCA
rnacentral:tRNA from 1 species